CAUAUCCACAAGACCCAUAAUUUCACUUACUCGCAUUUGAUAGAAUAUGUACUCUCUGGGUAUUUCCUAGGUCCUUUAGUGCAACUCCAUGGUAAGUUUGGAUCAGAAGUAGUUCAUUUCAGUAGGGCUUGUUAUUACCCAUAGUUUUGCAUGUCCAUGGGAAGCCCGAGAACAUAUUUCCUGCAGAUGCAGGAGGCUGUACUGUAAUAUUUUCUUUUGAUAUAUUGUCACACCGGUUCGAAUCCGAGGAGCAGGAUAAGCUGUUAAUCCCAGCUUCUGCCAACCUAGCAGUUCAAAAACAUGCAAAUGUGAGUAAAUCAAUAGGUACUGCUCCAGCGUGAAGGUAACGGCUCUCUAUGCAGCCAUGCCAGCCACAUGACCUUGGAGGUGUCUACGAAGAACGCCAGCUCUUUGGCUUAGAAAUACAGAUGUAACCACUGACUUAGAUGGACAAAAGAUAAGCGGUGAAAAGGUAGAUUAAAAAGAUACUGGAUGGAAGGACAAGAGGGACAAGAUAGGUAUUGAAAAAAAGGAACACACUCACACACACACAGAAAGAAAGACAUAUUGCACAUACAUGGCAGAGAGGAGCUAUGGAUCAGAAAAGGAUGAAGGAAAGAAGAUACCAGAAGUGGACAGCAAUAGAAACAUGGACCUUGCUCGCAUUACAGGAAUUAUAGAAGGGUUUGAAAGAGGUAAGGCAAGGAUGAAAACAGGAUGAAAAAUGGAGAGGGGGAGACUGAGUGAGUGAGAAAAAGCAGGAGAAGUUUUCAAGAGUGGCAUGACCAAAAGUAUCAGGAUUCAUGAAAUUGAGGAUAACUUUAUAUGGAAUAUAAUAAAUGUUCAGCAUUUUUGAGUGUGAUAGGGAUUUCUGAUCACAAAUAAAGAAUACCAUAUCCAGAUUUUCUUCAAGGUUGAAUCUAACUGUGACCACACAGGAAGUUUUCAAGACAAACAGUGUCUUUUGUAAGGAAAAUUACUGUUUUGUUUCUAAUUAAAUUGUGGUUUUGUGCAAGAUUUCAGUGAAAGUACUAAUUAUUCCAAAAGAAACCACUCAAUACAAAUGAGGGAAAAAUUAGUUAGGAAGUCAUACAUGCAUGAGGCAGUUUGCAUAAUGAUUAAUUCCAACAAUUGGUGCUUUAGUAAGUGUAACUGAAUAAAGGGAUUUUUAUUUUACUAUCAAUUGAUAGUUUAUUGUUUUUAACCAAUAGAUUUAAAAAAUAGACCAAGAAGCCAAGAGCUAAUCCUUGGAACCUGUGAUAGGGUUGCCAUCAAUCAGAGUCAACUUGAAGGCAUAUAAAGCAACAGUCAGAUCUCAAUGUCAAGUUGAGGAAGUGAGCUUUAAAUUAUUGCCAUUCAGAGCCACAGCAUUAGAUUCACAACACAGAUCAAAUUUGUAAUCACUAGAGGUGUGUGCGAAAAAAAUUCCUUCAUUUCCUUUUUGCUAUCACUUCGUUUCGACCGUUAGUCUACACAAAACAAAUGAUUACAUUUUCGUAGGAAACGAGAGGCAACACAAAAAUAAAAGCCGCACAAUCAUUGUGCUUGCUUCUUGUUUCCUUUCGUUUCGGCCCUGUAACAAUAAGCAGAUACUGUCAGAGGGCUGCUUUCUCAUUACAGCUGAUGUGUACUAAUGAGUAUUAAUAAUUACAUUAAUAUAAAUAAUGAUAGUUGCUCUGGUACCCUAAGAUGAGUCUGAGAGAGGAGUGCCUCCCAAUUACAUCCAAUGUGGAUCAAUGGGUCUUGAUGACAAUAUUUAUAUCAAUAAUAAGAACAACAGUUAUUCUGGGACCCUAAACUGAGUCUGGGUCUGGGAGAGCAGUGCCUCCCAAUUACAUUUGAUGUGGAUCAAUGGGUCUUGAUAAUAUUUAUAUUAAUAUUAAGAACAGCAGUUAGUCUGGCACCCUAAGUUGAGUCUGGGUCUGGGAGAGCAGUGCCUCCCAAUUACAUUUGAUGUGGAUCAAUGGGUCUUGAUAAUAUUUAUAUUAAUAUUAAGAACAGCAGUUAUUCUGGCACCCUAAGCUGAGUCUGGGUCUGGGAGAGCAGUGCCUCCCAAUUACAUUUGAUGUGGAUCAAUGGGUCUUGAUAAUAAUAUUUAUAUUAAUAUUAAGAGCAGCAGCUAUUCUGGCACCCUAAGCUGAGUCUGGGUCCGAGAGAGCAGUGCCUCCCAAUUACAUUUGAUGUGGAUCAAUGGGUCUUGAUAAUAAUAUUUAUAUUAAUAUUAAGAACAGCAGUUAUUCUGGCACCCUAAGCUGAGUCUGGGUCCGAGAGAGCAGUGCCUCCCAAUUACAUUUGAUGUGGAUCAAUGGGUCUUGAUAAUAAUAUUUAUAUUAAUAUUAAGAACAGCAGUUAUUCUGGCACCCUAAGUUGAGUCUGGGUCCGGGAGAGCAGUGCUUCCCAAUUACAUUUGAUGUGGAUCAAUGGGUCUUGAUAAUAAUAUUUAUAUUAAUAUUAAGAGCAGCAGCUAUUCUGGCACCCUAAGCUGAGUCUGGGAGAGCAGUGCCUCCCAAGUACAUCUGAUGUCGAAAUGCCUUCCAUGUGUGGCAUUUUUCACCCCUCCAGCCCAAAAACCCGCGCCGGGGGGGGGGGGAUGAGCCUCAGAAGGCCUCCCAUUGCAGCCAAUGGUCCAAAAAUUUUAGUUUUUUUCGUAAGCCAGACAAAAAUUCAUGUUGUAUAGGCAGCCCAUUUUCGUUAGUGGGAAACAAAUACGAAAAUGAGAUGACACCUAUGAAACUACACAAAACGAACAGCAAUUCUAUACGAAUGCACACCUCUAGUAACCACCUCUCUAGUUAUUAAGAUGUGUCAUCACACUAAUUUCUAGCUUCCUAGAAAACAUUUUAGAACUAUUAUUUUUCUAACAUUCAAUGAUGCGUAUGGCAAGUUGCCAACCAUACCAAACCUGUAGUUCUAAUUUUGUUUUGUGUUGAUCUGCAUUCCAUUACUCAGUGACUACAACAAAGCAAUCAUAUACUUUUUAUUCUUGUCUUUUCCUGGAGCUCUUAUAUGCUAAAAUCCCAUCUAAGUUCCCAAACCUUAGGACAACACAACUUUGGAUAGUAUCCUAAAUGUCAGUGUUUUUAAUCCUUCUUGCUUCUUUGCUUUUCUGUCUAAAUUCAGAAGAACGACAAGGAAAAAAGAGUUUGAGUUUUGCAAAGUGCUCGUUUCAUGAAAGGCAAUGAAGGAACAACCAACAAGGCCUUAUUAGGGACGUUUGCACUGGUCAGAAUUUUUUCAAUUAACGUUGCCUUAGAAAGCACAGUUGCUCAGCUUUUGUCCGGCUGCGGCCAAAGAAUACGAAGAGCAAAUAGAUUGGGAGAAGUCUGUCGCUGCAGCUCCUGGGAAAAUGUAACAGGUGUUAUAGCUCAGCUGGGUAUGAGCUGCAUAAAAAAGGCUCACUCAGGCUCUGCCCAUAGAAUUCUCUUUUUAAACCAGAGCCUCAAGUAGGAAGAAACUAAUGACUUCAUUACCAUCUCAAUUCUGGGAAAUGUUUAGUCCAGACCUGAACCAUUAAAGGAAAGGGAUUUAAGCAUUUUCUUCCAAGAGUUGCCCAGACUGGCAUUGAGUGAAAGAGAUGAACUGAAUGCUGCAUUUUAGGAUGUUAUCCCAGGGAUGGAAGGGAAGUGAAGGAAAGCGUUUGGAAGAGUGGGGACUCAUCUUACCCUGACAAGGUGCCGAAAUGAGUCAUUGAUAAAUUAUCUGCUGCUGCUAGCUGUUUAUGCUGUCAUCUUAAAUCUAGGCAGUAGUAGGCAUUUUGCCAGCCUUACACAUCUCCUUCGAAAGACACACAUUUGCAUAUAUUCCCUGGCAUAUUAAAGGUAUUUUCUUUUUAUUGUCACCGGAAGAUAGUUUUUGCAUAUGUGCACAUUUUCUGGCCAUUCCAUAGUCUGAUUCUAUAUUUUAUCUCUAGUAUCAUUUAAAUAAUUAUGGGAAGCCUUUAAAAUGCUCAAUACUGGUUUGAUCUCAGCUUCUAACCUGGUGUUUGCUUAGGGUGAUAAGAGAACUUGAGCAGGUUCUCAUGGGCUCUUGGCUUCAGCAAGUGGACCACUUUCUGAGACAAUGUAAGUUGCAAAUGUGGCCCUGUAUCAGAAAGGCUUUAUAUCCCUUAUGUACAUGUUCUUUCAGGUUGCUUAUAUAUCUUAGGAAAAACUAUGAAUCUCAUAGGAAUUUUUUUUAUAGACAACAAAUGCUCAGAGGCAGUUUGCCAUUGCCUUUCCCCUUUCAAGAUGGGGUCUGGUGCAUUCACAUCUGGUGCUGAUGUUGCAAUCUCCGGAGGGAGAGAACAGUUAGGCAUUGUUCCAUCAUGCCUGGACCCACAAACUGGUAAAAGGAAGGGAACUGGCACCAGUAUCUGCUGGACUUAGUCUCCUCCCUCAUUGCUGUCCUUGCUUCUUUGUGUGUUGCAUCUUUUUUUAGGCCCCUUCUACACUGGCAUGUAAUCCAGAUGAUCAAAGCAGAUAAUCCACAUCAUUUGUUUUGAACUGGAUUAUAUGAAUCUACACUGCCAUAUAAUCCAGUUCAAAGCAGAUAAUCUGGAUUUUAUAUGGCAGUGUAGAAGGGGCCUUAAAUUGUUAAAGUGUAGGUAGGGAAAGUGUCAGAUUAACAAUUGUAAACUGCUUGUGUAAAGCACCAUGAACAUGGAUGGCACUACAUAAAUAAAUUAUGACAAUGGCAAUGGUAAUGAUAAUGGAAUUACGCUAUGUAACAAAAUUUGAAAAAUGCUCUGUUCCUGUUUUGAAAGUGGGCCGGGCUGUGGCGCAGCUGGCUAGUAACCAGCUGCAAUAAAUCACUACUGACCAAGAGGUCAUGAGUUCGAAGCCCGGGUCGGGUUAAACCCCCGACCAUUAAAUAGCCCGGCUUGCUGUUCACCUAUGCAGCCCCGAAAGACAGUUGCAUCUAUCAAGUAGGGAAAUUUAGGUACGCUUUAUGUGGGAGGCUAAUUUAACUAAUUUACAACAUCAUAAAACUGCCAGCAAAACAUGAGGAAAAGAAUGAGGAAGUACAGCCACUAGUGGACAGUGAAGCAACAGCUCCCCCUGUGGCCGGAAUCGUGAAACUGGAAAAAAAAUGCCUCUGUGUCUGUCUAUAUAUGUUGUUUGUCUGUUGGCAUUGAAUGCUUGCCAUAUAUGUGUACAUUGUAAUCUGCCCUGAGUCCCCUUCGGGGUGAGAAGGGCAGAAUAUAAAUACUAUAAAUAAAUAAAUAAAUUUCCUGUUUAA